ACGCUCGACACCUACGGGAGCAGCAGUAGGGAAUCUUCCACAAUGGACGCAAGUCUGAUGGAGCAACGCCGCGUGAGUGAAGAAGGUCUUCGGAUCGUAAAACUCUGUUGUUAGAGAAGAACACGAGUGAGAGUAACUGUUCAUUCGAUGACGGUAUCUAACCAGCAAGUCACGGCUAACUACGUGUCAGCAGCCGCGGUAAUCUGAGCGGGCUGGCAAGGC
rnacentral:rRNA from 1 species